rnacentral:rRNA from 1 species
AUUGAACGCUGGCGGCAGGCUUAACACAUGCAAGUCGAGCGGAGAGAGGUAGCUUGCUACUGAUCUUAGCGGCGGACGGGUGAGUAAUGCUUAGGAAUCUGCCUAUUAGUGUGGGACAACAUUUCGAAAGGAAUGCUAAUACCGCAUACGUCCUACGGGAGAAAGCAGGGGAUCUUCGGACCUUGCGCUAAUAGAUGAGCCUAAGUCGGAUUAGCUAGUUGGUGGGGUAAAGGCCUACCAAGGCGACGAUCUGUAGCGGGUCUGAGAGGAUGAUCCGCAACACUGGGACUGAGACACGGCCCAGACUCCUACGGGAGGCAGCAGUGGGGAAUAUUGGACAAUGGGGGGAACCCUGAUCCAGCCAUGCCGCGUGUGUGAAGAAGGCCUUAUGGUUGUAAAGCACUUUAAGCGAGGAGGAGGCUACUGAGACUAAUACUCUUGGAUAGUGGACGUUACUCGCAGAAUAAGCACCGGCUAACUCUGUGCCAGCCGCCGCAGUAAUAC